rnacentral:siRNA from 1 species
UGCAACGCUUGAAUGGCAUUGAA